GCGAAGAGGAUAAGAAUCCCCAAUUCUCCUGUGCGGCUAGGGAUUCACCCAGCCGUCGCCGCCGAUUGCAGAACGACGGCACGCCGCCUACGGCGAGCCGGACGUCGACGGCCUCCGCGACCGCGCCUGGAGGCAUCGCCGGCCGGAGGGUACCGCCUUGCCGGUAGAAGCUCUUCGCGCCGCAGGCUGGUACAGGAGAGGAACCGCGUCAUGGCUGGUCGCUCCGCGGGAGCCGCCCAUCGCGCGUGGAAGCGCAUCCAUGUCGAGGCCGAAGGCCAUGGCUGCUUGGAGCGCCGCACUAUAUGAACAGCGUCCAAAGUAAUUUAGAGGUAUGAACAUGACGAACUGAAGAAAUACCAUGUGGGUGCUUCCGUUUCUUGGUUUGGAUUUUCAAUCCAUCGAUCGUGGGUGCCAAUUCUCAUGUUCCUUCUUUCUAUCUGUUCGUCUUUUUCUCUGCCGAUGUCUCGCCGAGUGCCAUCGAAGGCCACGCCUUGAGUUCGAGGUCGCGAGGAUGCGAGCCGACGCUGCGCGUACAGGCGCAGACGGCAGACGUGAACCGAAGUCGGCACGCCAAUGGCCGGGGCUUUCCCUCGAAGUUCAGGGACUAGAUUGAUGUUCUCCUAUCUAUUGCAUCCUCUAGGACACCCAGAAGACUUGGGGAGAGGGCCAGAAGGUUCCCGAGGAGGCCACAAGCCUCUAGGACGCGCCCAGAGGGCUUGUGGGCGGGGGUCUCCUAACCCUAACUCCGCCUCUAUAAAUCCUAAAAUAUUCCCAAGCCAUCAGAAGCGUCCAUCAAAAUACUUUUCCGCCACCACAAUCUUCUGUUCUCGAGAGAUCCCAUCUUGGGGCCGUUUCCGGUGAUCUGCCGGAGGGCGAUUCGAUCACGGAGGGCUUCUACAUCAACCUUGCUGCCCUAUCGAUGAUGUGUGAGUAGUUUAUCACAGACCUACGUAGCUAGUAGCUAGAUGGCUUUUUCUCCCUCUUUGACCUUCAAUACAAUGUUCUCCUCGAUGUUCUUGGAGUUCUAUCCGAUGUAAUAUUCCUUUGUGGUGUGUUUGUU